UACAGAGGUCCCAAGCGUUGUUCGGAUUCACUGGGCGUAAAGGGUGCGUAGGCGGUCGGGUAAGUCUGGCGUGAAGUCUCCAAGCCUAACUUGGAAACUGCGUUGGAUACUAUCCGGCUCGAGGAAUGGAGGGGAGACUGGAAUACUUGGUGUAGCAGUGAAAUGCGUAGAUAUCAAGUGGAACACCAGUGGCGAAGGCGAGUCUCUGGACAUUUCCUGACGCUGAGGCACGAAAGCCAGGGGAGCAAACGGG
rnacentral:rRNA from 1 species